AGAGAGAACAGGAAGCGAACUUGGAUUCAAAGCAAAACACACCACAACAGGACUCGAUGACCUUAGAGAUAUUUUCCAAAUUUAAUUAUCCCAUGAUUCUGUGAUUCUAAGAGCCAGGACAAAGCCAGAAGAAGCAGCAGCAUGAAGGACACUUGGAAAUCACAUAUAAAACUUGCAAGAGUUUUUGUGUGGGUUCUUAACUGGCACGGACAGGGAUUAUGAAACUCGCUGUUAUUUCCUUGGCUCAGACCUUGGGAAGUGUCCAGGCUUUGACAGGAGCAGUGUCUUUUGGUCUGUCUUCAGUUGAUCACCUUUCUGCUGACCCUGAAGCCCAGGAGAAGCUCAGUCUGAAUGUCAAAUUCUCCUCUGGCAUAAUGGGAUCAUGCAGCUGGAAGCAAAGAGCAGUGGGAAUCACUCCCUGUGCCACUGUCCAGGAUGAUCUCCAGGAUUUGCCCAGAAGACCAAUGCUCAAGUGCUGUGGGACUCUGAUUGCCUUCGCCUGGACUGAGAAUUCUGCCUCAGUUUGUAAAAUCCAACUCAAUAACAGCAGUCUGAUCACCUCAACAAUACUGGGAGCAUUUUUUCUGCCUUUAUUUGUUCAUAGAGGACCUUUCUUUGUUCUUCAAAAUUAUUAAAGUUCAAUUAUUAUGCAGUCACAAUGUGUUCAGUGUUGCUCUUGUAUUGGAACCUCAGCUUCAUCAAUAUUCACCACUUCCCAGACUGCUGGAUUUGUUGAUUAAAUAGCAAUUUGGAGAUCUGGAGAUAUCUGAUGAGAGAAUAUUUAUUGUUAUCACAGAAUCCCAGAAUGGUUUGGUUUGGAAGUGACCUUAAGGACCAGAUCCAUGGGCAGAGGCACCUUCCCCUGGAGUGGAGGGGCAAAACUACCUCCAUAAGGACUUUAAGGAAAAUAAAAAUAGGUUAAAAUAGGUUCCCACUGUAAUGUACCUCUUUGAUUUGGAAGGACCCUUCCCACUCUGGCUGUUGAAAAUGAGCUGAUGUGCUCAGGAUGCCAAUGGGAACUGGAUCUUCCCACCUUUCCCUACCAUGAAAUGAUUUGGCUACAAGCAAAUAACUUUAUUUCCCUCUCCAUGGGCCUACUUUAGGCCUUGCUAAACCAGGAUCCUUAGGGAGCCCAUAAACAUUUCAGGUUUCAGGUUCCAAGGUCCCAGGACAGUUCCUGCACUGAAAUCUGGUCACAGGCUGAAUUUCUGCCAUUCCCUGCCAGGAGAAGCUCAGCAAUCCACCAGAAAUCUCCAGUGGUCUCAGUUAUUGCACCCAGUCAGGUCUGGGGGUUUUCUCCCCUCCCCAGCCCCACAGCUGGGUGUGCUCAGCCCCCACUGGGAUCCUGCCUGGUUCUGGGAUUUACCUUUCUGUACUAAACCCUCUAAGGUAAAGGACCCAUGGAAUGGGAAAAUUACCUCAAAAAUCAGGUUACUCCCUCCAAAAGGACACAACUCCUCCACGUCCUGACCCCUGUGCUGCCUUGGAACCAGCAUUCCUUGGAACCAGCAUUCCUUCUUCUUGUUCCUAUUGAUCCCAUGAAUAAGUGAUUGGCUCCUCAUGAUGGGGAAGUGGUAACUGGAGUUUCCUUAAGGGCACAAGUGCCAAGCUAAAUAUUUCAAACCUCCAUAAAUAAUUAAACCUUCUCUUCAACAGAAGGAGAUUGGGGCUGUAAUUCCCUUUCUCAGUGAAUGAUCUCUGGCCUUCUCGGUGCAGGGAACUCACCUGGGAGCCACAACUAACUCAGCAGUUGUGCUGCUGGGUUUAUUUCUGUACCCAAGGCAGGCUGUGUUGCUUCUGCAGGUGCAGACACAGAGCAGUUUCACAUUUCCCUGACGCAGGGCUGGGCUCCAAGCAGGGAGCUCCUUGCUGAGGUUCAGGCAAAUCCCUCAGGCUCUGCCAUCUGGGAGUUGUGAUUCUUUGUGGAUUUAGUGAAAGAUGGGGAAAUUGGGGCGUUUACGAGUCACAUCUUCAUGGCAGCAAAAAGCUUCUUUAACUAUUCAUUAAACCCCUUUGUCAAAAUUAAAGGAAUAUCAAGAAAGGUGAUGAUGACAUCACUGCAGGGUUUGGGAGUCCUGGGAAGACGUGGGAGAAGGUGGAGGCUGGGAAGACACAGGAGAGAAUAAACUCAUUUCUUCCACCAGCAAAGGCUGAUUUUGGCUUUUUUGAAUGGCAGAGUUCAGGAGAAGGCAGGAGGUGGAGGAGGAUAAGCUGGGCCCCAGGUUUAAAUGUACAGCCCAUAUAGGCCCGACUUCCAUAAGCCAGGAGUGGGUUGGGAGCUCUCUCCUCCUGCUCUUUUUCCAGGUAGCUCUGGGAGGAGGAGCAGCAAUUUUUUGUGGAGUCCAACACUGAAGAGUGCUCCCAGCCCAGCUGAAUCCAGUGCUUCCUCUGAGCCAGGAAUCCCCUGGUUCCAAAUGCCAGGCUCUGGACUAGUGCUGUUCUUUUAAUUUGCUAAUUAGGUGGGUUCGUUAAAGCAGCUGGGGUUGUUUCUGCCUCCUCAGCAUUUUCUCACCGGACACUGUGUUCUCAGUAGUUCACAAAAAGCUACAGAAACUUUUUGUGUCAUAAACUGUGGGGUUUUCUUUGAGGUCUUGUGAGGAAUUUUCCUCAGGUUGUUUGCUAAGGAGCCUUCCAGAGGUACAGUCCCAGCAGAGGAUAAAUACCCCCAUUAUGCUGCCACUUGCUAAAGACAGGGAAAUAUUUCAUGCUGUGCUAUAACACAGAGAGAAACCUGUGACCCUGAUGAGCUCCUUGCCUUGGACUUGUACAAAUUCUGCGUGGGGAAGAGGAGAAUUGGGCUGUUUGGCUAAAUCAGGGCAGGAAAACUAUGGGAGCUGCUGUGACAAGGUCAGGACAGUUUGGCUCACAAAGCUCUUGACUGUGUAAGACACUUCUGCCUGAGGCUGAUUUGUUUGGGGUGCAGGAGACUGGAGCAGUUUGGAGCCUGAAUAGAAGAAAAGACUGAUUGCAGAAAUCUUGGCCUCAGGCGGAAUUUUCCCUAUAAAAACCGCUUGUGCCAGGAUGGAGGUGUGUGGGCAUGGAGGAAAACCUCUGCUGAGGCUGACUCCUUGUUGCACACCCAGGGCCGACCCCGGGCUCGGCUCUGUGUUUUUUUUUUCCCGUGGCUGGCUAGAUAGAAUUUAACCACUAAUAAAACUAUUUUUAUUUUUAAUUUGGCUGAAUAAAUUUUCAUUUAUAACACCAGCCGAUGUUCUCUGUCCCCACGCUGGAAUCAACAGGUGCUGCUCCCUUGGCACUGCCUGGCCUGUUUCCUUUGCUGUACUUUGGUUCCCGUGGAGCCGAGGUUCUUUGUGCCUCUGAUUGCUCAGCUUUGAUAAGGCUUAUUUUUCAUUAAUCAUCUCGGGAUGCCUUCCGGCCUGUUAUUUUUUAUGAGGAUUUCACAGCUCAUGUUUGCCCAGUGUUUGGGAUGAAUGCUCAUGAAGCUUAUCCCGAUCCUCAGGCAGCUCAGUGAGACACCUGCAGAACCUGCCUGCUUUGCAGCACGUAAUUCCAAUAAUUCCAGUGGUUCCAAGGGAAUUCCCCACUCCGAUCUUUAAAGACAGACACAACCACGAGUAAUGUGCCCAGCCAGGGGCUUUGUUCUUUACAGGGCAGCUCUAAAACAACAAAUUGCAGUGUUGGCAUUGGCUGGGGAGUGGUUUCUUCCUGUGUCCUUGGGGACUGGGCAGGUUCAGGGCCUGAGAAAUCACAUUUCCCUACCACUCAUGGUAUAUCCAGGACUAUUUUAAAAGCUAAACUGCUGGAAUAUUUCUUUUUGUUUGCUUAAGGCUUGUGUUUCCAUCAAAAUGACAAAUAUAAAAAUGAAGCAUUUAAAGUGAAGGAAGGAAGACUUUAUUUAACUUCUCUUUGGCAGCCAGGGUUUAAAAAAAAACCCAAACUGCAAUUCUCAAUAGAGACAAGGUCCAGCUCCCAUCUCCAGAGGAGUUUAGGAAUUGUGAGGGAAACCUUGCAUUGUCAAAAAAUCAACUUUCCCCCAAAGCAUCCCAAUUUUAGUGGAGGAUUUUCCAUUCAGAGAAGUGUUUAAAUCAGGGAAUAUUUGACUGCAUCCAAAAAGAUAAAGGUAUUUGGGUAAAGGUAUUGCCAAACUUGGCAAAUAUUCAGAUUGCUAAAUCUCAGAAUCAUGGGUUUAAAUGAGAUAUUGGGAAGAGAUUCUUGGCUGUGAGGGUGGGCAGGCCUGGCACAGGUGCCCAGAGCAGCUGUGGCUGCCCCUGGAAGUGUCCAAGGGGCUUGGAGCAGCCUGGGAUGGUGGGAGGUGUCACUGGGUGGGUUUAAAGGUCCUUUCCAACCCAAACUCAUUUAUUUUAGUGGUGAAAGAUACUCCAAAUAGAGCUCCAAACAGAGGAAGUUUCUCUGAGAUGUGGAAAAUAAACACCAGAAAUGCAGGAAUUGAACAACUCUUUUGCUGGUGCCUCCCCAAUGAUUUCCACUCCAGUCAGUGGCAGAAUUUGCCUGGGGCUCUUUCCUGGAGCAGUCAGUGCCCUGGUCAGGGGCUCUGGGUUGGCUCUGGGCUUGUGCAGAGGGUGAUCAUUGAACCAAAUGCUUUAGAGGAGAAUUGAACCUUCUUGGUUUUGGGGGGUUGGUAGCUUUUUAUUUCUUUUCACUUCUGUAGGUAGAUAUUGAUUUUUUUUUUUAUGUUCUUGUAUGAUUUGUAAAGGCUGUUGGCUUUAUGUUUGCUGUAGAGGAAGAAGAAAGGAGAGCAAAUGAGUGAAUUGCAAACACAAAGUGAUUUUUCUGAUGGAGCUGUAAAGAAAAACAAAAGGAAAGCUGUGGAUGCUGUCACUGAACUGACACCAAGUUGUUAUCAAAGGAAACACCGUUACCAGAGCAUUGUUUAAUACAAAUCCUCUUGUCUUGGCCUUUGUAAGAAGGGAGGAUUUAGAACAACCAUACCAGAACAGCAGGAACAAAAAAAAAAUCCCCAAACCACCCCCCAGCUGCUCGAGAAACAAAGGGGGGGGACUCUCAGCACAGUUGAGAUGUUUCCACCGAUUGCACACAAAGUCUGCUCUGGGCAAGUGCCCAAACUGUCCCCGGUGCUGAUGCCACAACAUCUGUGGGGUCCUGGCAUCUGAGCAUUGCCAGGGAUGCUCCCAGCACAAUUCAUCUGUCCCACUCCCAUUCCCAAAUGAAACAAAGCCUCUGGGAAGGGAUCAGAAGAAGGCUCCAUAGCAGGAAUUGUGCUUGGAGCUAAUGAGACACUGAUUGUGGUUAAUUAAACACCAAGUGAUUGCAAUCCCUGCACAUUUAUUGGAGGCAGCGGCAGCUGCUGAGCUGCAGCCUGGAAUCACCAACUGGACCCAGGACCAGUCUCACAAUUCUGAAUAUUUAUUUGAUUUAAUUUGAUUGUAUUUAGACUUAAGCUAAUAAGAAUGCGGUGCUUUCCCUCUGGCAUUGCAUUGUUCCUGGAACCAUAGGAUCAUGGAAUAUCAAGAGUUCUUGCUAGGCAGGCAGGGCGGGGUGAUGAAGAGAGGGCGAGCGGGCAGGGCUGCAGCUCCUCCUGCAGUGAGGGUCUGCGUCUGUUGUUGCUGCUGCUUGGUUGGUUUCUGUGCUUUUGUUAGUAAUGGUUUUUACACAGUCAAAAACUCCACUUAGUGCAAGUGUAUGUAGCCAGGUAGAGCCCUCCAGAAAGGACACAUCUGUCCUGUCAGACCCACUCCUGUGCGGACUGUUUGAGCCACUGAGCGGUUUCAGGGGCCGUUGGGGAGGGAACUGCCGUCGGUGUGAACAGUGAAUGAUCUCCUUUCCCUGCUGGCGAGCUUAGAGAGGGAAUCAGGGUCAGUGAAAGGGAAAUAGACUGCUGGAGUUCUGCUCUUCCAUGCUUGAGAGAGGCCCAGCAAGAGUCAGAGGACGCCCAGCCUUCCCACUGUCAGGCAAUAGAGGGGCACCUGGCAGAUGAAGGGGAGUGGAAAUGGGCCCCUGCUCAGGGAGGUUAUGAUAAAAAUUCCUCCCGACCCCCAUCCCCUAGCCAGGUGCCACUUCAGAAUAGGUGUGAGCCCCUGGAUCCAGAGGGUCAGCCAGAGGACAUAGAAGAAAAUGAUCUGCUCAGUGAGCCUCCCAAUAACGAUUCAUCUGUCAGACAGAUCGCUGCCUCUGACACUAAAAAGAAAAGAAAGGUGAUGGUAGUGGGUGACUCCCUUCUGAGGGGAGCAGAGGGCCCCGUAUAUCGACCAGAGCCGCCUCACAGGGAAGUCUGCUGCCUCCCUGGGCCCGGGUACGGGAUAUCCCUGAGAGACUGCCUGGGCUGAUUCAGCCCUCUGAUUGUUGCCCACUGCUGAUACCCCCGGCUGGCAGUGAUGAGACUGAAAAGAGGAGUGUCAGGGCACUUAAAAGGGACUUUAGGGCAUUGGGUCAGGUGGUCAAUAGGACAGGGGCACAGACAGUCUUUUCCUCAGUCCCUUUGGAGUCUGAGAAAUACGGUGAAAGCAGUAGGAGAGCUCACAUUAUCAACGAGUGGCUCAAGGGUUGGUGUCAUCAGCAAAAUUUUGGAUUCUUUGGUCAUGGGGCAACUUUUACAGUACCUGACCUGCUUGUGAAAAAUGCAUAUUUUAUGAUUGGCUUUUCACAAAUGUUACAAUGAAUAUUAUAUGUGUAAUGUUAGAAAGUUAUGCUGUAUUAAUUCUCUUAAAUAGUGUGUUAAAUAUAGUUUUAGGUUCCAACAUAAUGUUAAAAUAGAGACUGUGUAUGUGGGGGAAGUUUUUUUUUUUUUAAGCAUGAGAUACUCACUUCGAGGAACACCUAAAUCUUCCAAAGAAAAGGAAUUUAUGGCUUCUUAUCAGAAGAAGCGAAUUUCUUCAGGCCUUGCUCAGACUCAAAGAUGCCAGGGGAUUAAAGGAAACAGUUGACAUACAACAGACAGAGUUCUUGUUUAGAAUAGAACAUAUGCAUAACCAUAAAGGAUGUAUGAAUAUGCAACAAAUGUAUUGGUUUAAGGGUGAUUCCUUUGUUCACAAGGGAUGCUUUUCAUGACUGAGUGUCCAAGAGCAUCUGGACAUCCGUAAUUCUUUGCUUUUUAUUGUCUUGUAAUUGUCCUAACUCUAAACUUUAUUGCUCUAAUUGUAUUAUUGUUUUUUAUAACUAUUUU
rnacentral:lncRNA from 1 species